ensembl:lncRNA
CAGCUGCGCCUCGUCGGGAGCCGCGGGCGGGGCCCGCCCCAAAGCCUCUUAAGCUCCUCCGGAGGCUGCCGGGAGCCACGGGGGAGUUUCUGCGGUUCUGUAUGGGAGACGGAGUGAGUUCUGUUUCUUUGUCGGGCCCUGGCGCUGCUGAGGCUGAGAAGCGGCUGCUGUGAGACCUUUUGUGGCUGAGCGAGAGCUGUAGCAGAGCCUCUCAUCGGCCCGAAGCAGUGAGCUCGUGGAAGCGGAGCACGAUUUAGGUUCCCACCGUGGAGACCUGGCAGGGCAGCUCGCACGACUGGAGUGCUGUCGUGGAUGGCUGUGUUCCUUUUAGGAAAGACAGACCGGCCAGACGGUGGAGUCUCUCUUCGAGGGAGAGAACGGGAACGUAUCGAGCUCCACCUAGGGGUGAAUGAAGAACCAGCGGAGCGUUUGUGCGUGAGGCUGAAGAGGCAGGUAAAAGUGGGUGACCUGAGUGGUGGUGUUGGUCACAGACCAGGGUGAGGAAGCUGAUAGACCUUCUGCACACAGCUGGAAAUGGUGCCCACAGCUGUGAGGCCAGUUCUCAUGGUAGGCUCCAGGAGUUUCCUGCAAUGUGUCAAAGGUAAGAUUUUCUGUCACAGGUGAUGAAGGAGGCAUUGAGGAGAGGGGCUGCUGGAGCUCCCUAUUGCAGAAGAGCCAUUUGGGGACAGGAAGGCCAGGGGCAGCCUGGAGCGUGCCAGUCGUGAGACCACAGCGUUUGGGAUCUUGUGUGGAAGCUGCAAAGCAAUGAGUAGGAUUGAAACACUGGACUUAGAGGGAGCCAGUGGUUUCUGCUGAGAGUGCUCCUGGGGAACCUGGGGUCCUGGAGGAGAGAGUCCCUGAGGAAGGAUGUCUUCCCCUCAGUUGCGGAGGAGCUGGUCAAAGGUACCUGAAGACUGGAGGAUGGCGGAUGCCACCGCAGCCUUCAGAAAGGGUGUGGAGGAUGGCGUGUGCAACUUGGAGGUAGGUUGGCCUCAUGUCUGUUUCUGGGGAGGUGACGCAACAGCUUGUUGCAGGUGUCAUUGCCAUGUGACUGGAGGAGAAGGUAUUUGCAAGGAGCAGUCCAGGUGGAUGGACAGAGGGGAAGUCAUGCCGGACCAAAAGGUAGCUUUGUGCAUUGUCUUGAUUGUGCAGUUAGAGGAGAGGAGGGUGGCAGAUAGCAAUGCCUGCUGUGCAGGAGCCCAGUUGACGGGGAUGAGUGGCGUGUGGCAGUAGGGGGGCAGUGUGCAUGUUUGGUAUCACCAGAAUUUCUCAUUCAAGAGGAAGAAGAAUGAUUUCCCUGUGAGCGGGAUGGGAGAGGAGUGCCUGGGGAGGUAGCGGAGUCCGGUUCCCCGGGCCCCGUUCCAGUUGCGUGCGGGCGCUUUGCAGUGGGGCCUUGGCAUUCUGUCUGGCUGUGUGAUCUGUGCUCUUGUUGCAGGGUGAAGGCUGCAGAGAGGAUUGGCUGGAGCAGGUGUGCAGUUUUCCCAGGGGUGGGAUGAAGGAGGUUCAGGCUGGAGGCAGGAUCCUGGCGGUGUGAGCGGGGCGCCCCUGUGGAGCAAGGGUGGAAGGUGCGUGGCAGGUCCUGUCCCGGAGGAGUGGAGUUAAGGGUCCUGGUGUGGCUGUUUUCCUGCAUGGAAGAUGGAGAUCCUGGGAGCUGCGAUGAGGAGGAGCAGAGCCAGCAGGUAGGCCUGGGGUGUUGUGCUGUCUUGGCUCUGUUUGUGUUUGCUUAGGUGGCCGGCUGGCUUUGGUGCGUCAGAGGUUUGUGUUGGUGCUGUGGCAGGCUUGUUUGCUGGCGGUCUUGUGGUGGGGCUUGUCUUUUUUUUUUUUUUUGGUUAGGAGGCUGGUGGUAGAAAGUGGCUUGGGUGGUUUCGUUGUGGAAGGUGGAGUUGGCUUUGUGGUGUGCUGGUUGUUGGGUUUGGUGGUGGUUUUUCUUGGGAGCUGUCUGGCUUUAUUUGGUUGUUGGCAGUACAGUGGCAGGCUGGUGUGGCGGUCUCUGUUGUCUUCUGGUGGCCUUUGGUGUGUGUGUUUUUUGUUUUGGAGCUGUGUGGUGAACAGCCAAGAGCAGAGCCUGCCCUGGGGGGUGGGCUGUGCUCUUGGCUGGUGGUGGGGGGCUGUGGAGUGGGGGUUGCACUAUCUCAAAGAGAUUAUUUUUUUUGGGUGGGAGGUGGGGAUGGUCAGUCU